GAUGAAUGCUGGCGGCGUGCCUAACACAUGCAAGUCGAGCGGCAGCGAGGGGUGCUUGCACCCUGUCGGCGAGCGGCGAACGGCUGAGUAACGCGUAGGAAUUUGCCCCAAAGUGAGGAAUAACUGCCCGAAAGGGUAGCUAAUGCCGCAUAUGGUCUUCGGAUUAAAGGAUUUAUCCGCUUUGGGAGAAGCCUGCGUUGGAUUAGGUUGUUGGUAGGGUAAUGGCCUACCAAGCCGACGAUCCAUAGCUGGUCUGAGAGGAUGAUCAGCCAGACUGGAACUGAGACACGGUCCAGACUCCUACGGGAGGCAGCAGUGAGGAAUCUUACACAAUGGGCGAGAGCCUGAUGGAGCAACGCCGCGUGAAGGAUGAAGGCCUUCGGGUUGUAAACUUCUUUUAUGAGUGAAGAAUAUGACGGUAACUCAUGAAUAAGCACCGGCUAACUACGUG
rnacentral:rRNA from 1 species